rnacentral:lncRNA from 1 species
CCCCCUGAAGAGGCUCAACAAUUGUACAAUUUUCUCACUUGGUGCCGCUCUAUCAAGUCCCCAGGCGGCUGAAGAGCAAGUUUCCUCAGCCGAGUCUGCUGUGAGGACCAGUAAAGUGUCUGGUUAGUCUGGGGUGCCAUGAACUGUCGUUGAAUUCCAUCUAACAUCCAUCUUACAGAAAACCACAGCACACAGCAAAGGAUAUUUAUUUCACUUGCAAGAGAAUAUUUAGUUGACCCAACUCUACAGCUUUUAUUCUAUUCAGUGAUUUUUCAGUGGCCAGUUGAAGGCUGUUUGUAAUAUAAAGUCCUGUGAAGCAAAGUUGGUCAAGGACAUAAAUGACGUAGUUCGUUUUCUAAACCCCAAAUGGAGUAGGUUUUUGACACGGAUGAGAGGAAUUGGUUGCAAAAUGGCUGAUGCGGCCUAUGCUGGCUACUUGGUAGUUCUGUAUUUGAUUGACAUUAAUUCCCCCACAAGAGGUACAUGUAAAAUGCAAAGUUUGACUGCUAGGCCGUACCUAACCCAGUAUGCCACCCAGCUGCUGGUGCAAACCUUGGUGAGUUCCCGCCUUGACUACUGCAACGCCCUCCUAACGGGCCUGCCGGCUUGCGUGGUGAAACCACUACAGAUGAUCCAGAACGCGGCGGUGCGUCUGGUGUUCAACCAACCGAAAAGGGCACACGUCACCCCGCUACUCAUUGAGCUCCACUGGCUGCCAGUAGCUGCUCGCAUUAAGUUCAAGUCACUUAUGCUUGCCUACAGAGUGCUUGCUGGUUCUGCUCCCACCUACCUAAAUGCUCUUGUAAGGGCAAAUGUUACACCCAGGACGCUGCGCUCGUCUAGUGAGCGUCGUUUGGCACUGCCGUCUGUGCAAGCACGGCAAUCCAGACUAUUCUCAUUUGUAGUUCCACGUUGGUGGAACGAACUGCCUAGUACUACCAGAGCAGGGGCGUCCCUCUCUACCUUCAAGAAGCUUUUGAAGACCCAACUCUUCAGAGAGCACCUCCCCUCCUAACUGGCACCUGACUAGCGCUUAACUUGCACUUCAGCAGUUACAUUCCUGCACUUCUUUUUCAUUUUUUCUAGGUCGUUGUUUUCUAAUUCUCAUGUAAAGUAGUAUUUAUUGUUACACCAUGCUUUUUAUUGCUCUUAGCUUGACUGUUCUCUCCCUUGUACGUCACUUUGGACAAAAGCGUCUGCUAAAUGACUAAAUGUAAAAUGUAAAUGUAAAUGUAAAAUCCUUAUUAGAUAUAUUGUUCAAAUGUGAACUCUUUCAAAUAAAUAAUUUAACCAAUUAAAAUGG